UGAUAGGCUGCACGAAAGGAUAGCCAGU
rnacentral:sRNA from 1 species